rnacentral:rRNA from 1 species
UGGGGAAUUUUGGACAAUGGGGGAAACCCUGAUCCAGCCAUCCCGCGUGUGCGAUGAAGGCCUUCGGGUUGUAAAGCACUUUUGGCAGGAAAGAAACGUCGCGGGUUAAUACCCCGCGAAACUGACGGUACCUGCAGAAUAAGCACCGGCUAACUACGUGCCAGCAGCCGCGGUAAUACGUAGGGUGCAAGCGUUAAUCGGAAUUACUGGGCGUAAAGCGUGCGCAGGCGGUUCGGAAAGAAAGAUGUGAAAUCCCAGAGCUUAACUUUGGAACUGCAUUUUUUAACUACCGGGCUAGAGUGUGUCAGAGGGAGGUGGAAUUCCGCGUGUAGCAGUGAAAUGCGUAGAUAUGCGGAGGAACACCCGGAUGGCGAAGGCAGCCUCCUGGGAUAACACUGACGCUCAUGCACGAAAGCGUGGGGGAGCAAAACAGGAUUAGAUAGUGGUAGUCCACCGCCCUAAAACGAUGUCAACUAGCUGUUGGGGCCUUCGGGCCUUGGUAGCGCAGCUAACGCGUGAAGUUGACCGCC